UUGAAUGGCCGCGGUAUUUUGACCGUGCUAAGGUAGCAUAAUCAUUAGUUUUUUAAUUGAAAGCUGGAAUGAAGGGCUGAAUGAAAAAAAAACUGUCUCUAAUUAAUUAUUUUAGAAUUUUAUUUUUAAGUUAAAAAGCUUAAAUUUUAUUAAAAGACGAGAAGACCCUAUAGAGUUUAAUAAUUUUGUACUAUAAAAAAUUUAGAAUUAAUUUUUUUAUUUUUAUAUAAUUAUUUGAUUGGGGUGAUUAAAAAAUUUAAUAAACUUUUUUAUUUAUUUAUAUUAAUUAAUAAAUAGUUGAUCCAAAAAUUUUGAUUAUAAGAUAAAAUUACCUUAGGGAUAACAGCGUAAUUUUAUUUGAGAGUU
rnacentral:rRNA from 1 species